CCUACGGGAGGCAGCAGUGGGGAAUUUUGGACAAUGGGCGCAAGCCUGAUCCAGCCAUGCCGCGUGCGGGAAGAAGGCCUUCGGGUUGUAAACCGCUUUUGUCAGGGAAGAAAAGGUUCUGGUUAAUACCUGGGACUCAUGACGGUACCUGAAGAAUAAGCACCGGCUAACUACGUGCCAGCAGCCGCGGUAAUACGUAGGGUGCAAGCGUUAAUCGGAAUUACUGGGCGUAAAGCGUGCGCAGGCGGUUAUGCAAGACAGAGGUGAAAUCCCCGGGCUCAACCUGGGAACUGCCUUUGUGACUGCAUAGCUAGAGUGCGGCAGAGGGGGAUGGAAUUCCGCGUGUAGCAGUGAAAUGCGUAGAUAUGCGGAGGAACACCGAUGGCGAAGGCAAUCCCCUGGGCCUGCACUGACGCUCAUGCACGAAAGCGUGGGGAGCAGACAGGAUUAGAUACUCUGGUAGUCCACGCCCUAAACGAUGUCAACUGGUUGUUGGGAGGGUUUCUUCUCAGUAACGUAGCUAACGCGUGAAGUUGACCGCCUGGGGAGUCGGCCGCAAGGUUGAACGUCAAUGAAUUGACCGGNNGAGAGNGCGAGGCGACGACGAGGGAGGNGG
rnacentral:rRNA from 1 species